GGAUUCUGCGGACCUCGCUGGUGA
rnacentral:piRNA from 1 species